rnacentral:rRNA from 1 species
CCUACGGGAGGCUGCAGUGGGGAAUAUUGGUCAAUGGGCGCAAGCCUGACCCAGCAACGCCGCGUGAAGGAAGAAGGCUUUCGGGUUGUAAACUUCUUUUGACAGAGAAGAGUAUAAGACGGUACCUGUCGAAUAAGCCACGUCUAACUACGUGCCAGCAGCCGCGGUAAUACGGAGGUGGCAAGCGUUUCCCGGAUUUACUGGGUGUAAAGGGCGUGUAGCCGGGUUGACAAGUCAGAUGUGAAAUCCUGCGGCUUAACCGCAGAACUGCAUUUGAAACUGUUGAUCUAGAGUACUGGAGAGGCAGGCGGAAUUCCUAGUGUAGCGGUGAAAUGCGUAGAUAUUAGGAGGAACACCAGUUGCGAAGGCGGUCUACUGGACCGCAACUGACGGUGAGGCGCGAAAGCGUGGGGAGCAAACAGGAUUAGAUACCCGUGUAGUC